GGNCCGNCNCNGCNGUCGACGAUUCCUACGGGAGGCAGCAGUGGGGAAUAUUGCACAAUGGGCGAAAGCCUGAUGCAGCAACGCCGCGUGAGCGAUGAAGGCCUUCGGGUCGUAAAGCUCUGUCCUCAAGGAAGAUAAUGACGGUACUUGAGGAGGAAGCCCCGGCUAACUACGUGCCAGCAGCCGCGGUAAUACGUAGGGGGCUAGCGUUAUCCGGAAUUACUGGGCGUAAAGGGUGCGUAGGUGGUUUCUUAAGUCAGAGGUGAAAGGCUACGGCUCAACCGUAGUAAGCCUUUGAAACUGGGAAACUUGAGUGCAGGAGAGGAGAGUGGAAUUCCUAGUGUAGCGGUGAAAUGCGUAGAUAUUAGGAGGAACACCAGUUGCGAAGGCGGCUCUCUGGACUGUAACUGACACUGAGGCACGAAAGCGUGGGGAGCAAACAGGAUUAGAUACCCUGGUAGUCCACGCCGUAAACGAUGAGUACUAGCUGUCGGAGGUUACCCCCUUCGGUGGCGCAGCUAACGCAUUAAGUACUCCGCCUGGGAAGUACGCUCGCAAGAGUGAAACUCAAAGGAAUUGACGG
rnacentral:rRNA from 1 species